UUUUAGUUGAAAAAGUAAAUGACAAUAUAGGUGCACAAAUCGAUUAUGCGUACGCCGCCCAAGGAGAUGAAACAACCGAUCAACAGUUUGCUUAUGAUGAUGAACAUGCGAAGCUUUUGAGCGCUGUCGCUGAAGCCUCGGAAAGUGACAAUAAAUGUUCACAAAUCGGUAAUGAUGGUGUAUGCCUCGGAGAUGAAACCAUCGAUCAACUUUGUGGCUCCGAUUAUGAAUAUGUAAAUGAAUCAGAAACUUCUGGAGAAACAUCACAGAAUGAACGUAAAACUACAGAAGGGGGAGUAAGAAAACGUCUUGCGUCAUUCUUUUCUUCAGCAAAGAGGCUAGUUUCAG